rnacentral:snRNA from 1 species
AUUGCUUCUCGGCCUUCUGGCUAAGAUCAAGUGUAGGAUUUUUGCAAGCCUCUCGUUAAACACAGCUUUUAUUAAAGAUUAAAUUGCCAGCUCGCAUUUAAAUACAUUACAUGGAAAAUAAAUGCAAUAAAUACUCAAACUCAUUCCUUUCUAAUUAGUUUACUAUAU